ensembl:lncRNA
CUACAAGCAGCAAUAUGAUGGACCAUGAAGCAUCAGUUAUAGUCUACAAGCAGCAAUAUGAUGGACCAUGAAGCAUCAGUUAUAGGCUACAAGCAGCAAUAUGAUGGACCAUGAAGCAUCAGUUAUAGUCUACAAGCAGCAAUAUGAUGGACCAUGAAGCAUCAGUUAUAGGCUACAAGCAGCAAUAUGAUGGACCAUGAAGCAUCAGUUAUAGUCUACAAGCAGCAAUAUGAUGGACCAUGAAGCAUCAGUUAUAGGCUAUAGUCUACAAGCAGCAAUAUGAUGGACCAUGAAGCAUCAGUUAUAGGCUACAAGCAGCAAUAUGAUGGACCACGAAGUAUCAGUUAUAGUCUACAAGCAGCAAUAUGAUGGACCAUGAAGCAUCAGUUAUAGUCUACAAGCAGCAAUAUGAUGGACCAUGAAGCAUCAGUUAUAGUCUACAAGCAGCAAUAUGAUGGACCAUGAAGCAUCAGUUAUAGUCUACAAGCAGCAAUAUGAUGGACCAUGAAGUAUCAGUUAUAGGCUACAAGCAGCAAUAUGAUGGACCAUGAAGCAUCAGUUAUAGUCUACAAGCAGCAAUAUGAUGGACCAUGAAGCAUCAGUUAUAGUCUACAAGCAGCAAUAUGAUGGACCAUGAAGCAUCAGUUAUAGGCU